rnacentral:rRNA from 1 species
UGGGGAAUAUUGCACAAUGGGCGCAAGCCUGAUGCAGCGACGCCGCGUGAGGGAUGACGGCCUUCGGGUUGUAAACCUCUUUCAGCAGGGAAGAAGCGCAAGUGACGGUACCUGCAGAAGAAGCGCCGGCUAACUACGUGCCAGCAGCCGCGGUAAUACGUAGGGCGCAAGCGUUGUCCGGAAUUAUUGGGCGUAAAGAGCUCGUAGGCGGUUUGUCGCGUCUGCUGUGAAAACGCGAGGCUCAACCUCGCGCCUGCAGUGGGUACGGGCAGACUAGAGUGCGGUAGGGGCGACUGGAAUUCCUGGUGUAGCGGUGGAAUGCGCAGAUAUCAGGAGGAACACCGGUGGCGAAGGCGGGUCUCUGGGCCGUAACUGACGCUGAGGAGCGAAAGCAUGGGGAGCGAACA